AGUGAACGCUGGCGGUAGGCCUAACACAUGCAAGUCGAACGGCAGCACAGUAAGAGCUUGCUCUUACGGGUGGCGAGUGGCGGACGGGUGAGGAAUACAUCGGAAUCUACUUUUUCGUGGGGGAUAACGUAGGGAAACUUACGCUAAUACCGCAUACGACCUACGGGUGAAAGCAGGGGAUCUUCGGACCUUGCGCGAUUGAAUGAGCCGAUGUCGGAUUAGCUAGUUGGCGGGGUAAAGGCCCACCAAGGCGACGAUCCGUAGCUGGUCUGAGAGGAUGACAGGCCAAACUGAAACGGAGAAAGGUCCCAGACCCCUACGGAAGGCAGAGUGGGGAAUAAUUGACAAAUGGGGGAAACCCUGUCCCAGCCAUACGGGGUGGUGGAGAAAGGCUUUGGGGUUGUAAAGCCCUUUUGUGGGAAAGAAAAGCCGCCGGGUAAAACCCCGGUUGUCCUACGGUUACCAAAAGAUUAGGAACGGCCAAACUUGUU
rnacentral:rRNA from 1 species